UCUACAGCACGUUUACCAUUUUUUAAAGCUAUAUUAUAUUAUUAGACUAUUAGCCUACAUGACUUAAAACAUUGUUUUAUAGUUUGACGAUGGCCACAGGCCUACUAUCCACUUAAUAAUGCAUCAAGUUUCAGCUGAUUGUCAAAUAAUUCACUCCAUCUCAAUGCUGCGUAACUCUGCGUGUUUUAAUCAAUGGGCGCACGCGCUGAACAUUCGAGCCGCAUUUGAACUGGAGCAGACAACGUUACCAUGGAAACCGGGCGGUAGCUCAACUGACAACGAUCAGCACAGCUCCAUCUCUCGCUGUUGUUUUCACUACUUUCAGUAUUGUUAGCUCCAACCCCAAUUAAUCAGACCUGAGCAGCUGACUAAACAUCACCAGAAACUCUGCAGAACACUGGCCCUGGUCUGGUCUGGAUGCCACUGUUGCUAAAGCAUUUCAAGUAAAAACUUAAGUCGUGGCUUAAUAAUCCGGGGUUGGGAUGGUGGAAGGAGCAGAAGAACCAGAAGAUCGGAGAUCAGGAAGAUAUCUGUUGGUGCCUCUGAGGGAACUGAUUUAAUGUGUAGAAUUUAACCAAAAAUGUUCGUCACUCACCUUCAUGUCGUUGCAAACCUGUAAGACUUUCGUUCAUCUUUGAAAGAUAUUUUUAAUGAAAUCUGAGAGGUUUCUGUCCCUCAAUUUCACAGUUUAUGCAACUACCACUUUCAAGCUUCAGAAACGUAAGACAUUAUAAAAAUAAUCAAUAGAGGGUUUGCACCCACGUCACGAUUUGGCCAGUUACCCGGAUGCGCGGCUAUAUUCGAGAUACUCGGAUGUAAACAACAGCAUUGAUUGCACUGUUUAUGUACUACUGAACACAUUGUUACACUAAUUUAUGAUGUCUUAACUACGAAAAAAACACAUGGAAGCUGCAAAAUCAUAUAGGCUAGACUUAGUAAGCAGGAAAGAGCGUGGAUUUUUGACGAACUAAAGUUAAUAUCUGGUAAAGAUCUGAACGAGCUAGUUUCUCUAGCCCUUACUGCUAUUCAUCCUUCUAUUUCUUAUCCCACAUAGGCUACGUUCAGAUUGUCAGUCCAAAAAAAGCACAUGAAAUCCGUUUCAAGCUACAUCCAUAUGUCCACAAUCCUAUUAAAUCACAUAUCUGGAAAUCUGCUUCAGUCCGAACGCUCUGAUCAGAUUUCGCGUGGUAUGUGACUUUCUCACGCCACGCAAAUUUUAAAGUCAGACAUUGUAAUAGGGAACAUGCUAAAAGUCGCUGCCGAAACAAGGCUGUGUUGUUGCAAAGUGCCGGACAAGCGCUUUAUAUUUGAAACCGGCGCAGAUACGAGCACGGAAAAAAGCUGUGCACACCAGCCUCCUCUAGUUCUGCAGCUCAAAACACCAGUCCAGCACGGCGGCUACACAUUUCCAUGUUGUAAAAUUUAAAUAAGACAACAUCUCUAUUGCAAAUGCAAACCCCUCCAUCAACGCAAUGUCAUUGCCAUAUUUCCAAAGAGCUGCAUGAACACACGACUCGGAUCUGAACAGUUGCGAUACAUAGUGUAGACAUCAUUUUAGAUCAGAUCCCAAUCGGAUACAAAGAUACAUCAGAUUUGGACUGACCGUGUGAAUGUAGCCAUAGUUAACUACUUUACUUUAACAUUUUAGCCAUAGUCAACGCUUCAUUUACACAUGUGGCUGAUGCUUUGCCUCUCAACUACAAACACCUUCAUCACAAACACUUUCUUUCAUCCAUUUUUUGCACUCUUCUCUUUAACUUUAGGCAGUCUAUAGAACUUGAAAUGUUUUUUUUCCCGGUGUGACCUAUUAGUACAGACCAAAACACGACCAUUUUUCAGCAGCAAUAAUCAGCCAAAUAUGCAAGUCUGUUCAGUUCAGUGGCAUUGUUUACGUUCAGUGCCUCCAAAAUGACCGACUUCCGGAUUGAUGACGUGUAGUGAAAACACUCUAUUAAAAUCGUACGGAUUAAUUAAUGAACCACUUGUUUUAAAAUCAUCCCGUUCUACUGACAUUUGUUAUGACAUCCGUUUCAAACAUUACAAUGCUCAUGAUAACUUUCUCUCCAAUGGUUUAACCUCAACAUUAUGAAGCGAUGUGAAUGCUGAACACGUGUUCACAGAGCACCACGAUUCAUCAGUGUUGUGUUGGCGUGAGAGUCAGUCAUCUCAUGGUGCAACCUGUAUCGGCGAUACAUAAUUUUGUUUUGUUUUUUGCACACACAAGG